rnacentral:rRNA from 1 species
UACGGGGGGGGCAAGCGUUGUUCGGAAUUACUGGGCGUAAAGGGCUCGUAGGCGGCCAACUAAGUCAGACGUGAAAUCCCUCGGCUUAACCGGGGAACUGCAUCUGAUACUGGAUGGCUUGAGUUCGGGAGAGGGAUGCGGAAUUCCAGGUGUAGCGGUGAAAUGCGUAGAUAUCGUAAGGAAGACCAGUGGCGAAGGCGGGUCUCUGGACAGUUCCUGACGCUGAGGCACGAAGGCCAGGGGAGCAAACGGG